CUUCAGUGAUGAUACGAUGACGAGUCGGAGCUGGACUCACUCUGGUUCUGCUGGUUUCUGGUUCAGAGUCACGUUCUGUGGUUCUGCUCCGGAUCCUCAGAGCGGGGAGUCUUUUCGAGUGAAGACAUCGAGGCAUUUGUCUGAGAAGG